AGAAAUAGGUGCUAAUACCGCAUAAGCGCACGGAGUCGCAUGACUUUGUGUGAAAAACUGAGGUGGUAUAUGAUGGACCCGCGUCUGAUUAGCUUGUUGGUGAGGUAACGGCCCACCAAGGCGACGAUCAGUAGCCGGCCUGAGAGGGUGGACGGCCACAUUGGGACUGAGACACGGCCCAAACUCCUACGGGAGGCAGCAGUGGGGAAUAUUGCACAAUGGGGGAAACCCUGAUGCAGCGACGCCGCGUGAGCGAAGAAGUAUUUCGGUAUGUAAAGCUCUAUCAGCAGGGAAGAAAAUGACGGUACCUGACUAAGAAGCCCCGGCUAACUACGUGCCAGCAGCCGCGGUAAUACGUAGGGGGCAAGCGUUAUCCGGAUUUACUGGGUGUAAAGGGAGCGUAGACGGCUGUGCAAGUCUGGAGUGAAAGGCAUGGGCUCAACCUGUGGACUGCUUUGGAAACUGUGCGGCUUGAGUGUCGGAGAGGCAAGUGGAAUUCCUAGUGUAGCGGUGAAAUGCGUAGAUAUUAGGAGGAACACCAGUGGCGAAGGCGGUCUGCUGGACAGCAACUGACGCUGAGGCGCGAAAGCGUGGGGAGCAAACAGGAUUAGAUACCCUGGUAGUCCACGCUGUAAACGAUGAUUACUAGGUGUGGGGGGGGCUGACCCCUUUCCGUGCCGCAGUUAACACAAUAAGUAAUCCACCUGGGGAGUACGACCGCAAGGUUGAAACUCAAAGGAAUUGACGGGGGCCCGCACAAGCGGAGGAACAUGUGGUUUAAUUCGAUGAUACGCGAGGAACCUUACCCGGGCUCAAACGGGGAGUGACUCAGGCAGAGACGCCUGUUUCCCACGGGACACUCCCCGAGGUGCUGCAUGGUUGUCGUCAGCUCGUGCCGUGAGGUGUCGGCUUAAGUGCCAUAACGAGCGCAACCCACAUCGGUAGUUGCUAACAGUUUUCGCUGAGGACUCUACCGAGACUGCCGUCGUAAGGCGCGAGGAAGGUGUGGAUGACGUCAAAUCAGCACGGCCCUUACAUCCGGGGCGACACACGUGUUACAAUGGGAGGGACAAAGGGCAGCUACCGGGCGACCGGAUGCGAAUCUCUAAACCCUUCCCCAGUUCGGAUCGGAGUCUGCAACUCGACUCCGUGAAGCUGGAUUCGCUAGUAAUCGCGCAUCAGCC
rnacentral:rRNA from 1 species